AAGAUUGACUUGGUCCAGUUUUGACAGACUUCGACUUUAAUCAAGCUCCAAGUCACACUUCAACAGUAGGCAGACGACAGUUCUUUUUCCGCCAAGAUGAUGAAGCUGAUUCUACUCGCUGCUCUCGUGGCCGUGACAGCCGCCAAUUGGUGGGACUCUGGGAGUAAAAGGACUCACUAUGGAUAUCAACCCGGCGGAUAUGGAAAUGGCUACAGCAGCUACAUGAAUUAUGACCAAGGGUACGGAUAUGGAGGCUAUGGAUACAAAGGUGCUGGAUACGAAAAGCCUCAAUACGGAGGAAAGAAGGGACCAUAUACCCCAUGGCGAUAUUAGUGAAACUGAUGCUGCG
rnacentral:misc_RNA from 1 species